UACGAAGGGGGCUAGCGUUGUUCGGAAUCACUGGGCGUAAAGCGCACGCAGGCGGAUUGAUAAGUCAGGGGUGAAAUCCCGGAGCUCAACUUCGGAAUUGCCUUUGAUACUGUCUGUCUUGAGUCCGGGAGAGGUGAGUGGAACUCCGAGUGUAGAGGUGAAAUUCGUAGAUAUUCGGAAGAACACCAGUGGCGAAGGCGGCUCACUGGCCCGGUACUGACGCUGAGGUGCGAAAGCGUGGGGAGCAAACAGG
rnacentral:rRNA from 1 species